UCUAUGACGGGGUAUCCGGCCUGAGAGGGUGAUCGGACACACUGGAACUGAGACACGGUCCAGACUCCUACGGGAGGCAGCAGUAGGGAAUAUUGCUCAAUGGGGGAAACCCUGAAGCAGCAACGCCGCGUGGAGGAUGAAGGUUUUAGGAUUGUAAACUCCUUUUGUUAGAGAAGAUAAUGACGGUAUCUAACGAAUAAGCACCGGCUAACUCCGUGCCAGCAGCCGCGGUAAUACGGAGGGUGCAAGCGUUACUCGGAAUCACUGGGCGUAAAGAGCGCGUAGGCGG
rnacentral:rRNA from 1 species